UAGGGAAUAUUGCAAAAUGGGCGAAAGCCCGAUGCAGCAACGCCGCGUGGGCGAUGAAGGCCUUCGGGUCGUAAAGCCCUUUUUGAGGGGAUGAGGAAGGACAGUACCCUCAGAAUAAGCCUCGGCUAACUACGUGCCAGCAGCCGCGGUAAAACGUAGGAGGCGAGCGUUAUCCGGAUUUACUGGGUGUAAAGGGCGCGCAGGCGGGGUAAAAAGUCAGUGGUGAAAUCCUACAGCUUAACUGUAGAACUGCCUUUGAUACUUUUAUUCUUGAGUUCGGGAGAGAGAGACGGAAUUCCAGGUGUAGUGGUGAAAUACGUAGAUAUCUGGAAGAACACCAGUUGCGAAGGCGGUCUCUCGGUCCGACACUGACGCUGAGGCGCGAAAGCGUGGGGAGCAAACA
rnacentral:rRNA from 1 species